rnacentral:rRNA from 1 species
UACGUAGGUGGCAAGCGUUGUCCGGAAUUAUUGGGCGUAAAGCGCGCGCAGGCGGCUUCUUAAGUCUGAUGUGAAAUCUUGCGGCUCAACCGCAAGCGGUCAUUGGAAACUGGGAAACUUGAGUGCAGAAGAGGAAAGUGGAAUUCCAUGUGUAGCGGUGAAAUGCGUAGAGAUGUGGAGGAACACCAGUGGCGAAGGCGGCUCUCUGGUCUGUAACUGACGCUGAGGCGCGAAAGCGUGGGGAGCAAACAGG